UAAACACGUGAGGUUCUUUAGUGACUUCUUUUGAAGAUGUGUUACUUUCUCGUUCCCCAAUUCCUUCCACUCGCAUUGUUUUGUGUUUCUUCCGAAGAAGGAAGAUAAAACUGGGUGCAGAUAGCACCGAGGUGCGCCAUUUCGUGACUCGCAAGCACCUUCCUUCAGCCAUUAUCGCAACAAUACGCGCAGACUCUGCUGGCGUCUCCCCAACAAGCACUGGAAAGAACCCCUACCUCACCUAGAAACUACUGCGCUUUCAGUCCGGCAACUUAUUGGUCCUCUGCUGGCAUCUUGAACUGCCAUCUGUAUUCAGCGGAUCGGAUGGGGUGAGGAUUGCGAGAAUGCUAGGCCUGGCACUUCAACACAUCUGGCUCGUCAUCAAACCGGCGUGCCUCCAACGAACUCAUGCAUUCACACUCAAGUUCGAAUUUCGUCCCCGGUCGUCUCGGUAGGUGAACUGGAAGUGCUGCGCAAGAAACAAGAGUGUCACUCGGUGCUCGUGCCACUAAAAAAAAAGAAAAGAUAUAUUUAGCAUGCAUCGGUCACCCAGAGGGCAGCCGCUGCCGUUGUUGUGCGGGACCCCAGCGGAGGAGUGACGGCGACGGCGGCUGCCACCCCGUCUGGCGCGGCCGCUGUUGUUACCAAUACAACACAAAUCGCGGCGGACGGAGCUGGGGAUCACGAGGACGCCGACUGCGAUGUCAAGGAGUUUCCGGCAACGUACCGGGAGGUGCUUGGUCACUAUAGGAAAGAACGAAGAAAAUAUCCACAACCCCACGGGCGCCUAGACAGGUCCCAGGCGGUCGACCUGAGACGGUUGCAGACGGGCACAUUCACCAUCCCCUACCACCUGCACCGCCUGUGGCCGGCGCUGCACCCGUCGCCCGGCUGCCCGUGGUGCGAGCACGAACGGGCCGAUAUGGCCCAUGUGCUUUGGGAAUGCCAGCGCCACGUGGAACAAGGACAAAGAGGAAGGAGGAAUACAACAGCAGAACCCUCUGAAGCGGGGCGCCUCGCUGAGAGAUGGCAAGCCGCCCUCCUCAGCGAGGCACCCGAAGACCAGGAGUGGGCCGUCCAGCGGGCCAGGGCCAUUGCCGAGGAUCUCGAAAGAUUUUCCUCGGGCGAUGGACCCCUGGCAGCCUAGCCCCGGGCACCAACAUCAACAACCGUUGGACAAAUAAAGUUUAUUCCUAUCCUA